AGUGCUUGCUUUGUCAAUCCUGUUUUGCUGGCUCAAAAUGACUUACAAGAUUAAUUUUCAAUUUUUAACAUAAAACCCAAGAAAAAGAAGUGGUUACUUACUGCAAGGAGUUGAUUCCAUGUUAAUGACCCUGAAGGAGGCUUGUACACAAGGUACAGAUUGUUGCCAAUUUGAUGUAUAUUCAUUUUACAGAAUAUGCAAAUGAGAAGUUAUACCAUCUUGAGGAUUUUGUUUUUAUAAGUUAAAAAAGCUUUUAAGUAAUCAUACUGUGUGUUUGAUGGUGGAAAUUAGUAUGAAUGUUUCUGGCAGUGGAAUGAUGUGAUGUGGUUAUGCAUUUCUGUUUUCACUGCCUGCUCAACAUUGGCCUUUUACAAAUACAGAUUACCAUGUCGAUGGAAGGAAUUUACAGCUUUGGCCCCCUUGUCUCACUCUGUGUUACAGCACCCUUUUUCGUACUUUAUGUUACAUAUCCUCCCAACUGCAUUUUUGUGACAGGAAUAAGAAAUGUCUGAGGACUGAGAUCCUGAAAAUGUGAGAACUUUACUAUAUAAUUGAGUGAAAUGAGUAUUAUUUCUCUCUUACCUUGAUUUCCUGUGGGGUGAAAUCUUGCCCCUCUGAAGCUAGUAGCAAACACUGCUGUGUAUGACAGGAUGGAGAGUCCAUCAGUGAUCCUUUACCGGCUAGUGACAUUGCAUACUGGAAGCUCAGAAAAAAACAACCCUUAAUAAUAAUAUUGAUAGAAAGAACACUCUUUAAAAAGUCAAAAUUUAGGACUGUGAAUAAAAGCCAAGCUGAAUACGAAAACUGUAUGUAUGAUGUAUUUAACAUUGUUAGUUUUGGGGCCUUACAAGCCAGAUAGAACUGCAAGCUCCGUUUGUGUUCUGUAGGCUGUUACACUGCAUCUCUUACUUACCUCAUCUUGUGGGCAAGGAGCUGCUUGCUCUGACUUCAUGGAAGUGCAGCUGUAUUUGUGGAGUGCUCUUGUCCUUUGGCACUGCCUCCCCUUAAUACAGUUUAGAUACACCAGCGUUUUCUCUGGAAGCAAACUUCAAAAUUUGUCUUUAAUCCUGAUGCAAUGCAUAUUCAGAGUUUUUUACUUUCCUGGAGUUUAGUUCCAGAGGAAAACAUACUUGACUGGUGCUCCCACCAGCCAGCUGUGGUUUAUAAUGACAAUGAUUAACAGCAAGAUACUGCAGCAGAAAAAUGGGGAGCAGAGAAAUGCAGUCCAGCAACUUCAGAGAUAUGAUUUUGUUCACUUCCAAGGAUUCCUAAGUGCUUUAGAAACAAUAUUACAGGCAGAAUGGGUAGCUGUGGCCAUUGUGAAGGUCUUCUAGUGCUUCCUGUUUCAAUAUUCUGUGGUGGGUUGUUUUUUUUUUUUUUAAUUUUUCCAGAGCUCUGCCAAUGUGAAUGUAUUUAGGCUAAAUUUAUUUUUAUCCAAUGCCAGUCUCCAGUUUUUUAAGUUUUUGAAUUGAAAAGUUGUUGAAUUAUUUAUAAGAAUAAGGCUAGAUUUUUGCUUUUUUAGAAAAAUAAUAUCUGCCCCCUAUAUUUUUGAGCAAAGACAGGCCUUUCUCUGCCUUUGAAUCGGGUAUGUGCCUUUUGCCAUCCUCAUAAAGCCUUUCAAGUUUGGUCGACUGUUUCAAGACAUGGAAAAAAACACAGUUACCAAAUAUCCCAUGGAGGUUUACUAAAGCCUAACAGCAAAUAUUUCCAGAGAUUUCAUCUCCUCCACCUCUCCCAGCUCCUUCCCAUGAUCAGACUUUCCAUACAGGAUGACUGAACAGUCACUAGCUGGGGGCACUAGAGGCCAAAACGGAGCCAACCCCUGCACUGCUGUCCCUGGGCGUUACUUGGAAGCGCAGCCACGCUUUGCAGUGGAACCAGGAGUAGGGAGCCAGUCUCUUCUGAGCUGGAAUGCAUCUUAGGGCUCCCAAAUUGUAGUUUGUAUGCUGCUGGCAAACCUCCAGCAUAGUUGCUUUUUGCCACUAGCCUGAACACACAUAGAGAGUUGGACAACCUCAACAAGACCCUGAGCAACCACAUCUAAUAAUGAGAUGAGUCCUGCUUUGAGCAGGGGGUGGGAGUGGACAACAUCCUCAGGGUCCUUCCCAGCUUGAGUGAGUCUGUGGUUUGUGAUUCUUUACUGACCAUUUCUCCAUGAGUGUGUGUAGGCCUACAGGCAGCAUCCUGGUUGGUGGGUUUUGGUAGGUAUGAUGCACAUAGUGGAAAUAGUAUUUAGUAUUUAUUACUUUAUUACUUUAUUUUUAAACACAAACACCUCAUUAAGAUAAUAUUCAAGAUGCAUGGAGAGGUAUCCUAAAAUUAAGAUUAAAAAAAUGUUGUCUGCAACCUCAGUACACUUCUAACAUGCAUUUGUGUGUAAACAUUGACUCUAGUUUUGUGAUUGCACUGUGUUUUCACUCAUAUGGCUUCAUCUCUGUUUCUAGCAUGGAUCUGCUCUGGAGAUGAAGCAGCACUGAGAAGGAUUGAUGGAUGCAGAACUCUAGCCCACUUCUUGAGAAGAUGUAUUUGCAAAGUACAAUGCAGUUUGUUCUUAAGUUAAACAAUUCAGUGUUUAGACCUAAUCCUGAACCAUGUUGAUACUUUAGGUUAUGUUUUCCUUCUCGAAAAAUCGCAGACUGCUCAUUUUCUCCAGGGUUCAUGGAGGUGGCAAGUGUUCAUCUGGGUAUUAGCUGCAACCUCCUUUAAUAUGCAGAGACUGGUUUUGAUGUCUCAUGAUCACAGUGGGAAAGUUGUGACAGAGUUGUAAAGAACCAAGACUUUGCUGGUUCAUUGCUGAGAGCUCCUGGUCUAUCAAGUCUAGUCUUUGGCUGCUAAAACCAAACUUACUGUGAAAUCCAUGCAGGAGCUGCCUUCACCACCCUAUAUGGUAUUGGAAGUUUGAUCCAAUCCAUCACAGCUCUGAUGACCGAUGGAUUCCCAAGGCAUGGCUGCAAUCGUUGUUUGAAACAAGAAACAGAUACCCUGUUGGUGUCAUUCAUCUCUGAUCACUGGGAAUGGGAGCUUGAAUGAAGGACUCAUUUUUAGUAACAAACUCCAGACUAUUAGCCCUGCCAUUUUUCCACUGCUGGAGGAAAACGUGGACUCUUGCUGAGCUGUAUGGGUGUGUGUGCAGUCUCUGAGGAGCAGUGAGUGU